UUUUUUUUAAACUUGAAUUACUUUUAUUAACAAUACAUACAGUUUGUUUUACAAUAUAGUUACCUGUAAUCCGAAAUGAAUGUAGAGACACAAAUAAAAAGUAAAAAUAACUUUUAACAUAUCGAGCGCAAAUAUUAAUAAAUUGUUGCCAUGCUAAAAUAAUGAUUUAAUUUCAGAAAUCAAGUUGUACACUUUAGUGAGUUCGUCGCAGCAAUACCAACUUAUAGAACUUUCCAGUGGAAUAUCACACUAACUAAGUCCAAUAUGCACAUGUAAAUAAAAAUGUACUAGAUAAUAUAAAUGGUGUUUCAACAAUAAAAAAUUAAAUUAUUUUAAAGAGAAUCUUGUGAUUGCGAUACGUCUAAAAAUUUCAUGUGACCAAAUGUGUAUUGUCCAGGAUUUUGUUUUAAGUAGGUAGUAGGUACCAGUGGCGAAGGUUGGAGUUUUGUCGAAUGUAACCCAAUUAAAAGGAUAUUCAUUGCGCGUGAUAUGGUUUCUUAUAUCCAUACAUGCAUCAUUAAAAUAAUGAAUAUGUAUGGAUUUAUAAACGGUAGCCCGGCGGGAAUCGGCUUGUUGAGCUCUUUCCUAUUGGUAGGUCCUUACCUGAAGUUAGCAAUACUUAUCCAUAAUCUUUACAUAGUAGAUAUUACGAGUAAACAAAGUCACGUCUAUGAGUCUCAUAAAAAGGCACAUAGUCACACAGCGGACGGCGGAACGAGAUAUGCUAGGAGUUUUGCCUGAUCAAAUGAGGAAAUGAGGAGAUCUGCAGAUGAACCAAAGUCACCGAAAUAGCUCAACGAGGGAGAAGUGGUAAUAGGGGAGUUCAAAUAGCCGAUCGACGUUGGGGUCCUAAGGUGAGGGAAUAGCAACCACGCACCGGAAAGCGCAGUGAUCGACCCCUCACCAGGUGGAGUGAUGACAUCAAGAGAGUCGCAGGGAGACGCUGGCAAGUGGCAGUAGCACUAUGGCCUAGUUCGGACUACGAAAGAAUUAUUGGAUUUACCGCACAAAAAUCGUUCUUACUCGACUAAAGUAAUCCGAACUUGGCAUUUUACAGUCUUUAGUCCCUGUAUGUAGGCGGCUCAGGAUCGAGGUGUUUGAAAGACCCUAUAAACUGUGCAUGAUUUUAUAACAGUAAAUAAGUGAACAAUGGGAAUCAUCCUGUAUUUAGUGUGACAACUGUAAUCAGUUUAAUAACAUUACUGUAGCAUCCCACACCAAAACACUUUCGAUAGGAUAUCAAAGCAUUCAUAGAUUCUACUUACACCAUGGAAAUAAAGUGUGUCAUGUAUCUGCGUGUAAUUGAAAGGCUUAACUCUUAUCUUUUGUAUGCACAGAUUUAGUAGAGCUUUUUGUUUCGUGAAUAUUAAUACUGACGAGGUUUACUCGACUAUCACUAUCUAUGGACAUUAAAUCUGUAUUCUGUUGCUGUGUAACUAUAAUACUUACUUAUCUUUUUCUUUUUUAUUCUUUACUAGUUUUCUUAGUUGCUCCAUAUCUGGCUGGUGGGAAGCUUCGGCCGUGGCUAGUUACCACCCUACCGACAAAGACGUGUCGCCAAGCAAUUUAGGGUUCCGGUACGAUGUCGUGUAGAAACCGGAAGGAGUGUGGAUUUUCAUCCUUCUCCCAACAAGUUAGCCCGCUUGCAUCUUAUAUUGUAUCAUCACUUACCAUCAGGUGAGAUUCUCGUCAAGGAACCUAUUAAUAAUAAUUAAAUAAAAAAAGCUAAAUUAUCAUUGAGGAACCAAGCCGAUAUUUAUCCCCGUAUUUCCACGGGACCUAUAGGUACGGGUAAAACCUUGAGUUAAGAAAGUAAAAAUGCGAGAUUUUCAUUACACCUAUUUAUUAUACUUGUUUAGUAGGUACGAAUUUAUCAUAAGUGUUAGUAAUCGUAAUAACACAUUUUAUACAUAGACGGUACAAGAAUAUCAAUUCAUAUUUGAUAUCACUACAAUAUGUACUUAUUUAUAAGUAUGUAGGUACAUAAAAGAACCAGAAACCCACUAACCCGUAAUGGAGUAGCGUAGUGGAUAUAUGCUCCAUAACCACUUCUAUAAGGAGGGACGCCUGGCCCUGCAGUGGGCCGUUAAAAUAGGAUAAUGAUGACUUGAACGAACCGCCAUCCUGCUUCACUAUCAGGAUGGGUCAUCUACCUACUGUAUGAUAUCUAUGAAGGGACGUCAGUUGGCACCGGAUGACAUGACAGCCUGCUGCUGGCUUAUUCACUAAUUUGGUCUUUAUUAACAACCUAUUAAAAUAAACAUCUAAUCAACCGAGAAAUGUUAUCUACCUACUGUAUCCACAAAGGGAUCUCAGUAGGCACUGGAUGACAAUUGUUACAUAGAAUCUCAAUUUUUUAUAAUAUGGCAACUAACAUACGUCAUUGUUAGUGAACAAGCCUGCUAGUUUGUUAGAUUCAAUGUCUAUUCACAGAAUUUGUAAAAAACAAUGUUAAUGGUCGUUACCGUGCUCUAUAAAAGAAAAAUAAAAAUA